rnacentral:lncRNA from 1 species
UGCAGCUUGCUUCGGUGCGUCACUUGCUUCUUCCGGCGAGUUUCCGGCGAACUUCCGUCGAUCAUCCGAUGAACCCUCGGUGAUGCUCCUGCGGACUUCCGGCAAACUCCUGGACUGCGACGAUCCACUUGGCAAGUUCCGACGAGCUCCUUUGGCAAGAUUCUGGACUUCUCGGAUUUGUUCCCGCAGAACCUCCGACGAUUGUCCGAACUUCCGUCGAGCUC